UCUCAUUUGUUCUUCUUCUAA
rnacentral:piRNA from 1 species